rnacentral:rRNA from 1 species
UGGGGAAUUUUGGACAAUGGGCGAAAGCCUGAUCCAGCAAUGCCGCGUGUGUGAAGAAGGCCUUCGGGUUGUAAAGCACUUUUGUCCGGAAAGAAAUCCUUGGCUCUAAUACAGUCGGGGGAUGACGGUACCGGAAGAAUAAGCACCGGCUAACUACGUGCCAGCAGCCGCGGUAAUACGUAGGGUGCAAGCGUUAAUCGGAAUUACUGGGCGUAAAGCGUGCGCAGGCGGUUUGCUAAGACCGAUGUGAAAUCCCCGGGCUCAACCUGGGAACUGCAUUGGUGACUGGCAGGCUAGAGUAUGGCAGAGGGGGGUAGAAUUCCACGUGUAGCAGUGAAAUGCGUAGAGAUGUGGAGGAAUACCGAUGGCGAAGGCAGCCCCCUGGGCCAAUACUGACGCUCAUGCACGAAAAGCGUGGGGAGCAAACAGGAUUAGAUACCCUGGUAGUCCACGCCCUAAACGAUGUCAACUAGUUGUUGGGGAUUCAUUUCCUUAGUAACGUAGCUAACGCGUGAAGUUGACCGCCUGGGGAGUACGGUCGCAAGAUUAAAACUCAAAGGAAUUGACGGGGU